CAACAAACAAAUGUUAUUUUUUGUUUUAAUCCAUUAAAAAUGUAAAUUAGAAACAUUUUUCUUUUAAGAACUUUAAAAACAAACAAUAAGAAGAUCAAAUCAAUCCUAAACUGAACAGGGAGACUGUGAAGAUAUUAAAAUAUUGGUGUGAUGUGAUCAUGUUUCUUAGAUUGAGUUAGGAGAUGGCGGGAGUCUGUAGACUGGUUCAUGCCAAAACAAAGCAAAUUGCAAUAAUCCAGUCACAAAGGUAUAAAGCAGUCGCAGCUAUUUCAAUGCUGUUAUAAUCUAGAAAGAUUUUGGCCUUUGCCAGGAGCUCAUCCUGAUAACAUUGUUUGUCAAGUUGAAAUUUGAGUAAAGGAGCACACCAAGAUUUUUGACUGUGGGAACGCAGCUGAAAGAAGUAUUAAGGCCAGUUACUUCCCCUUCCCCAAACACUAUAUGUUUAUUUUUUGUCCUUGUUUAAAUAUGAUAAACACGAGUCAACCUCUGCUUAAUACCUGACAUUCAAGGAAGUAAUAGCUUCAUGGCUGAUGGAAUUUAUUGACAGAUGCAUGUCAUCUGCAUAGCAGUGAAAGGUCAGGCUGUAGUUAUUCUUCACACACAAGCUGUAAUAUUACUUCUACCAGAGAGGACAGGGAGUUAGGUUAAAAUAGAUUAACACAUUUAUUUAUUUAUCCUUCGUUGAGCAAACAUAUGUCUUCUACUCCUAAUAUGACUCAACCCAGUUCAGUUAUAAAAAGAAAAACAAUUUUACAGUAAUUACAGUUCCAUCAAAAGUAUUCAAGAAAAUCUGCAGAUAGCAAAUACAUACACGUAAAAUCUUUAGCAAGAAGUAGAAGAAACAGGAUAAACUAUAGUGUGGUGUACAUCCACUGCAUUCUAAACCGUGGAGAUUCUAUUUCUAUUCCAACAACAAAAUACUAUAGCAUUUUACUUCUAGUAUACUCAAGUUAUUUUUCAUGACCUUCAGGGGAUUGAAAAGAGGCUAAGGCCUCACUCCAAUUUAGUAGAGCUCCUCUGGCUGCUUACACAUGAGCAAAUAACUUAUGUGGCAAUAAUAACUCACACCAGAAAAACUUAAACAUAUACAAAGCUAAAUCAAAACGCCUUAAAUUUGUGUGAAAACUGUAGCAAGGCACUGUAUUACGCAGUUUUGGAAGGAACACAAUGUCUAAGGCAGUUAAACACUGCCCUCUUCUGGACGACAUGGUGAAAUUAUCUGAACACACAAGGGAAAGACGAAAAUAAACAUCUUUCUU